UACGGAGGGUGCAAGCGUUAUCCGGAUUCACUGGGUUUAAAGGGUGCGUAGGUGGGUUGGUAAGUCAGUGGUGAAAUCUCCGUGCUUAACAUGGAACUGCCAUUGAUACUACUGAUCUUGAAUUUUCUGGAGGUAAGCGGAAUAUGUCAUGUAGCGGUGAAAUGCUUAGAUAUGACAUAGAACGCCAAUUGCGAAGGCAGCUUGCUACAGGGAUAUUGACACUGAGGCACGAAAGCGUGGGGAUCAAACAGG
rnacentral:rRNA from 1 species